UUCUAAUAUGGCAGAAUAGUGCAAUGGAUUUAAGACCCAUACAUAAAGUUUACCUUUUUUUAGA
rnacentral:tRNA from 1 species